UGAGUGAUCAGCCUAUAAUGCACCAUCAGGAGCAUAGUCGCGUGCGCUGAUUGAUGGUUAGUGAUUGAUGGCGUGACGGUAGUUUCACAGCGCGAGGAGCUCCUUUUCCUUCAGCCGCUCGUGCCGGAGGAGCGUGCGUGCGCUGGGGUGGAGGUGGAGUUUCACACACACUCUCGGAGCUUCUCUCUCAAGCGCGCGCGCGCGCGCACCCCCCUCACACCAACGCGCGAGGAUGCAGCCUCGAGUCAGCGCUGCGCGGUAGCGGCUCCCAGCUGGACGCGAACUAACGAUCAAAACACUAACUGACGAUAAUAAUAAUAAUAAUCGUGACGUAAGCCGUUUGACUGCCAACUUUUUCCGUCUCUUUUUCGCGUGGCUUUCUUUUUUUUUUCUGGAUCUCCUGCCAGAUGGUCGCCAUGGUCCGCGGUGCGUGCGGGACUGGACCGAGCAGCGAGGGGUCAGCAGCAGCAGCAGCUCGGCGGUGGCAGCGCGCGGAAAGAGGCGAGCUGCACACGUAAAAGCGAAGAGAGAGAGGGAGAAAAAAACAUCAGUGAAACCCUGAGAGACCGUUACCAAAGCAGUGACCAGCAGUGAGUGACCGGGCCAGCCAGGGACCUAACAUCUUGGAGAAUGGGUGCUAUGGUUUGUGCUACGAGAUUAGCAUGCCUCCUCCCUCUCCUUGUCUCCACUCUUCUGUUGCUCUGCUCUGGGGAGAAAACAUGUCCCUACAACUGCCGCUGUGAGGGUAAAAUCGUCCAUUGCGAUUCAGCGUCUUUCAUGGAUGUGCCAGAGAACAUUUCAGUAACUUGCCAAGGUUUGUCCCUGCGCAACAAUGACCUGCACACAAUGCUCCCAUACCAGUUUGCCCACCUUAACCAGCUCCUCUGGCUGUAUCUGGAUCACAAUCAGAUCUCAUUUGUAGACAGUCGUGCUUUCCAGGGCAUACGACGGCUUAAGGAGUUGAUCCUGAGCACCAACAGGAUUUCACAACUCCAUAAUUCCACCUUUCAUGGAGUGCCUAAUCUCCGCAGCCUGGACCUCUCCUACAACAAACUUCAGGAACUGCAACCGGGUCAGUUCCAUGGUCUUCGCAAACUCCAGAAUCUGCACCUACGCUCCAACGGGCUCACAACAAUUCCUGUCCGGGCAUUUAUUGAGUGCAGAAGCUUGGAGUUUCUUGACCUAGGGUAUAACCGACUACGUGUCCUCACACGCACUGCAUUUCUGGGUUUGUCUAGGCUGAUGGAGCUGCAUCUGGAACACAAUCAGUUCUCUCGGAUCAACUUCUUUCUCUUUCCACGCCUCGCAAACCUGCGUGGUCUGUAUCUCCAGUGGAAUCGUAUUCGGGCAGUGAACCAAGGCCUCCCAUGGAUUUGGUAUACCCUGCAGAAGCUUGACCUGUCUGGCAAUGAGAUCCAGACUCUGGAUCCUGUUGUAUUUCAAUGCCUACCAAACCUACAGGUUCUUAACUUGGAGUCUAACAAGUUAGCCAAUGUAUCUCAUGAGACUGUAGCAGCCUGGAUUUCCCUGACUACAAUCAGCCUUGCAGGAAACAUGUGGGACUGUGGGCCAGGCAUUUGCCCUCUUGUUGCCUGGCUAAGGAAUUUCCGAGGAACUAAAGAUACAAGCAUCAUUUGCAGCAGCCCCAAAAAUCUUCAAGGGGAAAAGGUUAUGGAGGCAACAAGAAAUUACAUAGACUGUGAAGAUUUCGAAAUCAUUCCACAAACACCAUUUCCUCACCACACUCUGGAACCAACUAUGGAAACUACUUCUGCACCACCCUUACCUCCCACUACUCCCCCACCACCCCUGCCUCCACCUGCCUCUGAGGCACCCAUCCCACCACCCCUAGCUCAACCCCUUCCUCAUCCUACUAUCUACAACCUUGCUGAGACUCAUCCUAGAAACAGCCCUCCACAGACACCUCCACCUUCCAACAGCCUGCUCGUCACUCCAUCCCCAGAACAAGAGAACUUGGCAUUCCAUAAAGUUGUGGUGGGGGCUGUGGUGCUUUUCUUCUCAACAUCACUCGUCUUGACAGUGAUCUAUGUGUCCUGCAGACGGUACCCUGGUGCCACCAGGUUGUUGCAACAGCGUUCAGUCAUGGGACGAAAGCGCCGGAAAAAGAGUCCCGAGCCAGAGCAGAACCUGAGCUCCCAACUGCAGGAAUAUUACAUGAGCUACAAUCCUGCCGCCACACCAGAAGCCAUGGAUGUGCUGGCCAAUGGGACUGGUACUUGCACCUGUACCAUUUCCGGCUCCAGGGAAUGCGAGGUAUGACAAUGUCAAAGGCAGCCUAAAAUCAAAUCAAAUCAAAACAAAUGAAACGGCUCUGGAUUACAGAGAAUGAAUACACGUGUCCCAGGCCACUCCCUGGAGCCUGGAUCGGCGACAUCCCCACCAUUCACUAGGAAUGUUUUCUCCACCAAUGAGAUUUCAAUAGGCAACAGGGUUCCAGCCUACAGCCUCUGCAUCCAUCACUCUACGGCCUACGCUGCCAUUUUUUUUCUUUUCCCUGUCAUUUAUGGAACGUUAUCCACCAUGGACAUGUGAAGGGACAUCUAAAAAGACAGCAGGAACGCCUCCAUCACGCAUUUUACUAACACGCACGUCACACUUCUUCAAGACGCCUCACUUUAUCCACUCUCUUUUUUGCCUAGACAGCUCUUUCUCUAGAUCUAAGCCUGACUAGGCCUUUGGUCGAGUUGAACAUACAGGAACAGGAUGAACUAUUCUAUUCUACGAACAAAGCCACUGUAACAGCAAUGAGAGUGCAUGGGAAGAUAUCUCCUGGACUUUAAGGAAUAUCCUCAGCAUCAGAGCGUAUGGAUUUUCCAUAUGACAAAACAUCAUCCAUCAGACAACCAUUGACUGCCAGUCAACUGAUACAUUAAGCCUAUUGCUGGACUUAACUUAUUUGGUCACACUUUAUGUGAGGGCUACCUACAUAUGGACCUUAUAACACACUGAUAAGCAUUGAAUAACAUGUUUAUAAAGUAAUGUUUGAGUAUUUAUAAACAGCUGAUAUGAGUAAUCACAGAAUGUGUAGGCACUGUGUUGACAUAAGAGGUCUUAAACCAAUAUAAUGGAUGUUUUUUUUUCAUUUGUAUCAUUCCCACAUAAUGGAUCUUAAAUGCCAAGACCACUGUUUAUGAGUUUUAAAUAUUUCUUCUUGAAGUCCAAUUGUACAAUUUCUAUAAAGGAAAACCAGUAUGGCUGCAGAUACUAACUCCUUAAAGUAGAAUUUUUCAUUCAAAUAAAAUAGCAUAAUAAAUCAAAGUGCUUUUACUCAUAGUAAACUGCAUUUAAGCAAGCAAGCAAAGUUUAUUUAUAUAAAGCUUUUUACAACAGAUGUUGUCACAAAGCAGCUUUACAGAGCAAUCAGUAUUAUAGAAAGAAAAGAAAAGAAAAUCCGGGACCAAGCCCCCAUGAG